AAGGGUGUAGCUCAAGUGGUAGCGUGCAUGCUUAGCAUGCAUGAGGUCUUGGGUUCAAUCCCCAGUACCUCCA
rfam:Camelus ferus unplaced genomic scaffold scaffold331, whole genome shotgun sequence.